CAGAGCAUGGCCUACGGGUUGCAGGGAUACGUCGGUCUCGUGGACUGGCCGGUGGUGAACCAGCUGCUGUGCGCCUUCGGCGGGGCGCUGCUCGCC
rnacentral:tRNA from 1 species